CACUCUUUGAAAAGAAAAUGAAAAUCUUGACAUGACAAAAGAUUUCUAGUGGGUGUUGCGGUCCCAUCGAUGACAUGCACCUUACCUAACAGUUAUUGAUAGAUGCACAUCGAUGCGUAGGCAACUCUUUAUCCAGAUGCUUCACUAAACAUAUUGCAGCCACUUGAUCUCUAAGUUAUAUGAGCUCACCUAACAAUUAUUGCCCAUACUUCUUAGUUAAGCCUGACCCACCAUUCACAAGCAGGUGCAAGACCAUCAUUGGGUCCCUCACCUAACAAGUAUUGGGCCCAAUCCCAUCCUUACCUUAGAGCAAUUCCUUACUAAUAGAGUGAUUGUGUAUUUCUGAUGCAACUGAACCACUGUGAUCAGUCGAGAACAAUCAACGCCGGUAACACGUCCAUAUAUCUAUAAUGGUGGAAGACCUGCGGACUUAAUAUUUAUGGGGAGGUUUGGAUUUAGGUCUCAUCUAAUCAGUCAUCAUAUGAUCGAUCUAACUGGCAUGGACUAAAUCAGAUUGCUAAGCAACUUAAUUCAAGACCUAAUCAUCCAAAUUGAUCAGAUAAGUGGAGAUUAGUGGGGGUCCCCCCAUUGCCUUCCUAAGACACCAAUAAAUUGAUCAGAUCGGCUA
rnacentral:lncRNA from 1 species